rnacentral:rRNA from 1 species
UACAGAGGUCUCAAGCGUUGUUCGGAUUCAUUGGGCGUAAAGGGUGUGUAGGUGGCGCGCUAAGUCGGGUGUGAAAUUUCGGAGCUUAACUCCGAAACUGCAUUCGAUACUGGCGUGCUUGAGGACUGGAGAGGAGACUGGAAUUCAUGGUGUAGCAGUGAAAUGUGUAGAUAUCGGGAGGAACAUCCGUGGCGAAGGCGGCCACCUGGACCAGCACUGACACUGAGGCACGAAAGCGUGGGGAGCAAACAGG